rnacentral:rRNA from 1 species
GACGAACGCUGGCGGCGUGCCUAAUACAUGCAAGUCGAGCGAAAUGUUUCUGGUGCUUGCGCGGGAAAAACUUAGCGGCGAACGGGUGAGUAACACGUAAAGAACCUUCCUCAUAGACUUGGACAACGAUUGGUAACGAUAGCUAAGACCAGAUAACAGCAUUAACUGCAGGGUUGAGGUUUAAAAGGUGGGUUGGCUAACACUAUGAGAUGUCUUUGCGGGUCAUUAGCUAGUUGGUGGGGUAAAGGCCUACCAAGGCGACGGUGCAUAACCGAACUGAGAGGGUGAUAGCCCACCCUGGAGGUGAACCACGCCCAAGAGUACUACGGGAGGCAGCAGUAGGGAAUGUUCCGCAAUGGUCGGAAGCCUUACGGAGCAACGCCGCGUGAGUGAAGAAGGAUUUCGGUUCGUAAAGCUGUGUUGUUAGGGAAGAAUGAUUGUGUCGUAACACUACACAGUAGAGACGGUACCUAAUCAGAAAGCCACGGCUAACUACGUG